GCUAGCUACUUGAAGAAAAACUCUGAGCUCAAGACUCAAUGUUUCAAUCUAUCGUCUAAAAGCUUUGAGGUCGUUUGUGGCAUCUUUGAAGAAAAGAAUCAAUCAAUCGCAUUUCUCAAUUCAAGGGUGUUUUUGGUUUUUUCAAAAGGACAGAACUGUUGUUGGCAAGUGGACUAAGCAAUUUCCAGGUUGUUGAUGAUGUACAUCCUUUAACAAUAUAUGAUUCCUGAAGAUUGUCUGAGUUCAGAGAAUGACUUGCCUGCAGCCAUGAUGGAAUUGAUAUGGAUAAUAACGCAGCAGUUGCUAAUCUCCAUCACUUCCAUAUACUGUGGUUUAGCUACCCUUCUGUAAUCUUUCUGUCUUUUCUUUAUCUUAGCUAACAUAUGCAUGAAUUUGUAGAGGAACAAUAAAAUUUGCAUUAUGGAGUAUUGUAGAGUGGGUACUUUAUCUUUUAUUAAUUCAAAUGUACAUAGCAUUAGAAUUUUGUCAU